UCAAGAUGAGAUUUCCCUCGAGCGUAAGCUGGUAAGAUCCCUGAAAGACGAUCAGGUUGAUAGGUCAGAGGUGGAAGCGCGGCGACGCGUGGAGCUGACUGAUACUAAUCGAUCGAGGACUUAACCAAAUA
rnacentral:rRNA from 1 species